rnacentral:rRNA from 1 species
GAUGAACGCUGGCGGCGUGCUUAACACAUGCAAGUCGAACGGAAAGGCUCCUGCUUGCAGGGGUACUCGAGUGGCGAACGGGUGAGUAACACGUGGGUGAUCUGCCCUGCACUUCGGGAUAAGCCUGGGUAACUGGGUCUAAUACCGGAUAGGACGAUGGUUUGGAUGCCAUUGUGGAAAGUUUUUCGGUGUGGGAUGAGCUCGCGGCCUAUCAGCUUGUUGGUGGGGUAAUGGCUUACCAAGGCGUCGACGGGUAGCCGGCCUGAGAGGGUGUACGGCCACAGUGGGACUGAGGUACGGCCCAGACUCCUACGGGAGGCAGCAGUGGGGAAUAUUGCACAAUGGGCGGAAGCCUGAUGCAGCGACGCCGCGUGGGGGAUGACGGCCUUCGGGUUGUAAACUCCUUUCGCUGGGGACGAAGCGCAAGUGACGGUACCUGGAGAAGAAGCACCGGCUAACUACGUG